AACUUUCGACAAUGGAUCACUUGUCUCUCGCAUCGAUGAAGAACGCAGUGAAAUGCGAUAAGUAAUGUGAAUUGCAGAUUUUCGGUGAAUCAUCGAAUCUUUGAACGCACCUUGCGCUCCUUGGUAUUCCGAGGAGCAUGCCUGUUUGAGUGUCAUUAAAUCCUCGACCCUCUCCCUUGCGGGGGUGUGGCUUGGACUUGGAGCAUGCUGGUGAAGGUCGGCUCCUCUUUAAAUGCAUCAGCGGAAAGCUUUUCUGGCCGUUCGGCGUGAUAACACUGUUGCGCCGUGGAAGCCUCUGUAAAGGCCCUGCUUACAAUCAUCUUCGGACAAACGACAUCUCAGUGUCAAAUCCACUUUGACCUCAAAUCAGAACCCGCUGAACUUAAGCAUAUCAAUAAGCGGAGGCU
rnacentral:misc_RNA from 1 species